AUUCAGGUGUAGCGGUGAAAUGCGUAGAGAUCUGAAGGAAUACCAGUGGCGAAGGCGGCCCCCUGGACAGAUACUGACACUCAGAUGCGAAAGCGUGGGGAGCAAACAGGAUUAGAUACCCUGGUAGUCCACGCCGUAAACGAUGUCUACUUGGAGGUUGUGGCCUUGAGCCGUGGCUUUCGGAGCUAACGCGUUAAGUAGACCGCCUGGGGAGUACGGUCGCAAGAUUAAAACUCAAAUGAAUUGACGGGGGCCCGCACAAGCGGUGGAGCAUGUGGUUUAAUUCGAUGCAACGCGAAGAACCUUACCUACUCUUGACAUCCAGAGAAGCCAGCGGAGACACAGGUG
rnacentral:rRNA from 1 species